rnacentral:lncRNA from 1 species
ACGCCCCCAGCUGCUGGCUGCUGCAAGCCAAGCGCGGAAUAUGUGCAGCUGGGGCCCUUCGUGUUGCUAGGAGAGCGACGACUCUGCUUCCAGCCGUGGAGCCGAGACUGCUGUGUGUUACGAGGGGUGAACAAGACCAUCCUGACCUCCAGCCUCUCUCGCUGAGUCAUCAGGUUGACCAGCUGAAAAGCAAACCGGAAGGCCGGCCUGCCAUGUGAGGCGCUGACGCAGAAAGGCUGAGCUGGCCGAGUGAGGGACAAAGCUGAGAGCUGGGCCCAGCUCCGCCCCAUUCCGAAGAUUACCUCUUCUCCCCCAGCCGCUGCCCAGGUGGGAUGGGACAUCAUCCGCAACAGGAUUUGAGGGGAAACACGUGGAGCAUUGCUGUGGGCCUAUUUUCUAAGAGAAUAUCCUAAAGAAAACAAAUUCAAGUUUCCUGCUAGAGAAGCCUCUGCUUCAAAAGGAGUAGGGAGCAGAAAAAAUGCUAUGAAUUCAUCGAACUGAUGUUAUUUUCCUCUUGGACACAUGGAAAGGCUGUUUUUGAGCUUCCACUAUAGUAAGGUGGCGUCAAGGGGCUGAGCUCCUGGCCAAUGGAAGGGGCUAAAGGGACAAACACCCUGCCCAGCGUGCUCCUAAAGCCUGCAUGCGAUCCUCGCUGUGCUUUCUUCCCACUUGCUGGUUGGAUGCAGGGGACCCAGGGUGGGACUCCAAGGCCCUGGAAGAUGGUGGAGCCACUAGGAAGGGGCCUGGGUCCCCCAAUGCCUUUGUGGAGCAGAAUGUCCCCUCCUCUUGACGAUAUUGGACUAUGCUGGGUUGAGCCCUUGGCUUUGGGGGCUGCUUGUUUCCGUGAUGAGGUGGGGAGGGGCCCCCUGGUGACAGAGGGGUAAGGUUUAAUUAGCCACCCUGAACUGAGAAAAGGGAGCCUGUGCGUGGAAGAGUGUAUGUAAAUCGGAGUAAACACCCUCUGGUGGGGCCCUUUCUGACCUGCAAUUAAAGGUAACA